rnacentral:lncRNA from 1 species
UCCUUCAGCAGGCCGUGCUUGCUCGUGGGGCCUCUCUGGAGACUUCCCGAACCCUGUGGAUUUACAGUAAAAUGCAGUUUCCUGGGGAG